UACGGAGGAUCCGAGCGUUAUCCGGAUUUAUUGGGUUUAAAGGGAGCGUAGGUGGACAUGUAAGUCAGUUGUGAAAGUUUGCGGCUCAACUGUAAAAUUGCAGUUGAUACUGUGUGUCUUGAGUACAGUAGAGGUGGGCGGAAUUCGUGGUGUAGCGGUGAAAUGCUUAGAUAUCACGAAGAACUCCGAUUGCGAAGGCAGCUCACUGGACUGUUACUGACACUGAGGCUCGAAAGUGUGGGUAUCAAACAGG
rnacentral:rRNA from 1 species